rnacentral:lncRNA from 1 species
GCCGGCGCCGCUUCACCUGCCGGAGCGGGAGGCCACCGAGGCGAGGCCGAGGCGGCGGCGCGCUCGGCGGCGCCUCCGGGUCCUAGAACCGCAUCCUCCCGCUCGCCUCGGGCGAGGGAUUGGCCGGGUCUGGGUGAAGGGGAUCACGGCCUGGGGAUUGGAGGGGCACAUCUUCUCCGCACCGAGGAUCUCAGCGACUGCGAGCACGGCUCGGAGACCCACGGUGGUGCAGCGUUGGGGCGCCAGGGCUGCGUUCCCGUCUCGCGUCCCGGACUGAGAAGAGCCACUGACAAGACUUUAAGCAAGAGACGGAGAGUUAACAUCUAAUCUGGAGGAAGACCCUGGAAGGAGCCAGCCCCUUCCCCCAGGCUGACCUGGUUUAAGCCUUUCUUCUGCCAAGGUCACCAGCACCCCAGAUGGGUGAGAGAUGUGAUCACUGGUUUCGUGGCCUGACCAAGGACCUCCAAGAUUCUGUGGCAGAUGAGAAAUGCCUUGGUCCUUGGGCUGCUUGCAGCCUAGCGAGGGACAGACUUUUAACCUCUCUAGGAGAGUGGCUGCUUCAAGUCAUCCUAUGGGACCAGCUGUUCAUGCUUCCUCUUGCCCAGAACUACUUCUGUGAGAGGAAAAGAGAAGGGUAGGAGCGUGCCCUGCAGCUGGAAACCCAAGCCAGGCGGGGAGCCACGAAUGCAGUAGUUAUCAGACUGUAUCUUCAAUCCUGGGGGCUUCUCAAGCCAUUGCCAGCCACUCUUCACCCAAGGCCUGGUGGAAUAAAGCUGGGCUAAGUAACACCUCUUCUGUGGAAAAUUAUUGUUUCUGCAAGCCUAUAUUCAUUCUCCCUCUCUCUCAUGCUGAUCAGAACUGUGAGUUACAAAAAAAAUGAGAAGAUGGAAUCAAUUAUUACGUAGUAAAUUUCAUUUGCUUGGCAGGAGGUAUCUUUCCCAUCUUGGCCCACAGAGGAGGAAAUCCUAGAAGGGAUGACUGAAGCUUGGGACUAACACAUUGGUGGAUCUGUGCUACCCCCUGCUGGCCGUAGACGGUAUGACAGCCAAGAUAGGGCAAGGCUUCGAGGGGCGAUGGAUGGAUUCACCGCAGCGGCGACAUUUCUGGACUGUUGUCACCUUCAGUGCAGUCACUGGGAAUAUUCAGAACCCAGAGUCUCACUCUGUUGCCCAGGCGGCUGGAGUGCAGUGGUGUGAUCUCAGCUCACUGCGACCUCCGCUUCCCAGAUUCAAGCAAUUCUCCUGCCUCAGCCUCCUGAGUAGCUGGGACUACAGGUGUGUGCCACCACGUUCAGCUAAUUUUUGUAUUUUUAGUAGAGACGGGGUUUCACCAUGUUGGCCAGGCUGGUCUUGAACUCCUGACCUCAAGUGAUCCACCCGCCUUGGCCUCCCAAAGUGCUGGGAUUACAGGUGUGAGCCACCGCGCCUGGCCUCUUAACAGUUCUAAUGUAUCUUUGCAGAGCUAUUUGGAGCAUAUGCUGUGUAUAUGUGCGUGUGUGUGUGACACAAAUGAUAGCACACGCUCUACACUGUUCAGCACCUGCUAUUUUCAUGUCAUAAUAUACCUGCCUGUAGAUAGUCAACAUAGUUUUCCAUCGUAUGGUGUGUCACAAUUUAUUUACCAUUCCCCUCCUAGUGGAUAUUUAUGUAUGUCCGCCUUUUAUUACUACAAACAAUGCUAAUUACAGGAAAUAUCUUGGUACAUAUAUUUGCAGACAUAUGUGUGUGUGUGAAAUAAAUUUAUAAGUAUGGCAAUUCUGGGUCAAAGAUUAUGUGCUCUUAAAUGUUUUAUAGGUUUUCACAGAAUUGCCCUCCAAAAAUUUUGUACCAAUUUACAAUCCCCAACAACGGAUGAGAUCACCUGUUUCCCCAAAUCCUCACAAACAGGUUAAUAUCAGGCCUUUUGAUCUUAGGUGAUGACUCUUUAAAAGUCCUGCUCACAGAGCAGUUGAUGAUCUGUCUUUUUCUUUGGGCCGCGGGUUUCUCCAAGGAAGGGACUGUGUCUUUCUCAUACCUACAUCCCCAGUGAAGGACUUGACACCAUCCUUGGGAGUUACUCAAGAAGUGUCUGCUAAAUAUUGAGUGAAAGAAACAGAGCUGCAUUUUGGCAGGCUGGGAGGGAGAGGGUAAAAGGUUAGGUUUGAACAGGAGGCCUGCUUUUUUUUUUUUUUUUUGAGAUGGAGUCUCACUCUGUUGCCCAGGCUGGAGUGCAGUGGCGCGAUCUCAGCUCACUGCAACCUCCAAGGAGGACUGCUCUUUAGGGCCACUUUCUCUUCCAGACCCUGGUCAAGCCUCUGCCCCAAAUCCAAAAGCCUUCCUCUUGCAGGAGCCUCCCAGGUUGCAAGGUCUGAGGUUGAAGGCCCAGAACUCCCAGUGCAGCUUUCACCCAGCUCUGCUGCAUUCCAGGGAUGGGCCCCAUCAUCCCCAAGCUGCCUGAGAACUGGAAACAAACUAGGUGUCCAGCUUUAGGGGAUCAGUUAAACCACUGUCCUAUAGAACUUUCUGCAAUGAUGAAAAUGUUCUCUAUCUGCCCUGUCCAAUAUGGCAGCCACUGGCCACUCGUAGCUACCGAGUAUUCAAGCUGUAGCUAGUUCAACUAAGGAAAUAAAUAAAUGUUACUUAAUUUUAAUUAAUUUCCAUUUAAGUAGCCAUGUGUGGCUACAUAUUGGACAGUGAAGGGUUCAGUAAAUUAUGAUAUAGCCCCACAAUGGAAAACUAUGCAGCUGUAAAAAAAAAAAAUAAUAAGGAUGCCAAGAAAAAUGGAAAGAUCUUCAGGAUAUAUUUUGAAACAAAAAUGUGGUACAGGCUGUGUGCAGUGGCUCACGCCAAUAAUCCCAGCACUUUGGGAGGCCAAGGUGAGAGGCCGAGGCAGGAGGAUCACUUGAGUCCAGGGGUUCAAGACCAGCCUGGUCAACAUAAUGAGACUUCCGUCUCUACAGAAAGUGAAAAAAAAAAAAAAGACAGCAUGGUGGUAUAUGAAUGUAGUCCCAUCUACUCAGGAAGCUGAGGUGGGAGGAUUGCUUGAGCCAGGGAAGUUGAGGCUGCAGUAAGCUGUGAUUGUGCCACCACACUCCAGCCUGUGUGACAGAGCAAGACCCCAUCUAAAAAAAAAAAAAAAGGCCAGGCACGAUGGCUCACACAUGUAAUCCCAGCACUUUGGGAGGCCGAGGACCGUGGAUCACCUGAGGUUGGGAGCUCAAGACCAGCCUGACCAACAUAGAGAAACCUCAUCUCUACUAAAAACACAAAAUUAGCUGGGUGUGGUGGCACAUGCCUAUAAUCCCAGCUACUCAGAAGACUGAGGCAGAAGAACCACUUGAACCCAGGAGGCGGAGGUUGCGGUGAGCCAAGAUAGUGCCAUUGCACUUCAGCCUGGGUAACAAGAGCGAAACUCUGUCUCAAAAAAAAAAAUGUGGUUCAGAACAGUAUACAUAGUAUGUCAUCUUUUUUGAAAGAAAGGCAGGUAGGCCGGGCGCAGUGGCUCACACCUGUAAUCCCAGCACUUUGGGAGGCCGAGGUGGGCGGAUCACGAGGUCAGGAGAUUGAGACCAUCCUGGCUAACGCGGUGAAACCCUGUCUCUACUAAAAAUACAAAAAAUUAGCCGGGCGUAGGUGGUGCACUCCUGUAGUCCCAGCUACUCGGGAGGCUGAGGCAGGAGAAUGGCGUAAAACCCGGGAGGCUGAGCUUGCAGUGAGCCAAGAUCGCGCCACUGUACUUCAGCCUGGGAGACAGAGCGAGAUUCCGUCUCAAAAAAUAAAAAAAAAAGAAAAAGAAAGGCAGGUAGAGGAGGCUGGAUGUGGUGGCUCAUGCCUGUAAUACCAGCACUUUGGGAGGCCAAGGGGGACAGAUCACUUGCAGAAAUGUGAGACCGGCCUGGACAACAUGGUGAAACCCCAUCUCUACACAAAAUACAAAAAUUAGUUGGACGUGGUAGUGCGCACCUGUAGUCCCAGCUACUCAGGAGGCUAAAGUGGGAGGGUUGCUUGAGCUGGGGAAGUCAAGGCUGCAGUGAGCCAAGAUUGCACCACUGCACUCCAGCAGGGGUGACAGAGGGAGACAGCAGGAGUGACAGAGUGAGACCCUGUCUCAAAAAAAAAAAGAAAAGAGCUUUGCACAGUGGUAGUAUCGUAGCCAAUGAAUGAAAGGGAGGUGGAAAUAAAAAUAAAUGUUUAUAUUUGCUUGAAUUUGCAUAGGGAAAGCAAUAACAGUG